rnacentral:tRNA from 1 species
GAAAAAAAACCUACCUAUUCUUUAUUCAUUCAUCGAAUGAUAAAUUACUACAAGUGAAGGAGAUAUACGAUU